rnacentral:rRNA from 1 species
CCGGCGCUUUGAGAGGGACCUGCGGCCCAUCAGCUAGUUGGUAGGGUAAUGAGCUACCAAGGCAAAGACGGGUAAGGGGCGUGAGAGCGUGACCCCCCACACUGGCACUGGGACACGGGCCAGACUCCUACGGGAGGCAGCAGUGAGGAAUAUUGCGCAAUGAGCGAAAGCUAGACGCAGUAACGCCGCGUGGGUGAUGAAGGCCUUCGGGUCGUAAAACCCUUUUCUGGAGGAAGAGUAAGGACGGUACCCCAGGAAUAAGCCUCGGCUAACUAUGUGCCAGCAGCCGCGGGUAAUACAUAGGAGGCAAGCGUUAUCCGGAUUUACUGGGCGUAAAGAGCGUUGAGGCGGCUUCGUCAGUUGGACGUGAAAGCUCCCGGCUUAACUGGGAGAGGCCGUUCAAUACUGCGGGGCUUGAGGACAGCAGAGGGGGCUGGAAUCUCCAGGUGUAGUGGUGAUAUGCGUAGAUAUCGGAAGGUACACCAAUGGCGAAGGCGGCCCCCUGGGCUGCUCCUGACGCUGAAGGCGAAAGCUAGGGUAGCGAACGCGAUUACGAAACCCCGGUAGUCCUAGCCGUUAACGAUGGAUACUAGCUGUAGGAGGUUAAAAUUCCUUCUGUGCCGGAGCUAACGCGUUAAGUAUCCCGCCUGGGGAGUACGGUCGCAAGGCUUUAACUCAAAGGAAUUGUCGGGGGCCCGCACAAGCAGCGGAGCGUGUGGUUUAAUUCGAUGCAACGCGAAGAACCUUACCAGGGCUUGACAUGUAGGUAGUAGUGAAGCGAAAGCGGAACGAUCCUUCGGGAAGCCUACACAGGUGCUGCAUGGCUGUCGUCAGCUCGUGCCGUGAGGUGUUAGGUUAAGUCCUGUAACGAGCGCAACCCCUGCCGUUAGUUACAAGUGUCUAACGGGACUGCCCGGCAAAACUGGGACCAAGGUGGGGAUGACGUCAAGUCAGCAUGGCCUUUAUGUCAUGGGCUACACACACGCUACAAUGGCCGGUACAAUGGGUUGCCAAGCCGCGAGGCGGAGCCAAUCCUCUAAAGCCGGUCUCAGUUCGGAUUGUAGGCUGCAACCCGCAUGCAUGAAGUUGGAGUUGCUAGUAACC